GGCGGGCCAUUUGAGCUCCUGCUGCAAUGCGCAUUCGCAAAGUUUGUGAGGCUUAACUCACGAUCAGUGGCAGGCCAACCCGUCAGCAGUCAGAGCCUGUAAGUUAUGAAGAAAUAACCCACUUUCAUAACGUAUCCCACGCUCACGAGUGCUUAAAGCGGUGUUACGUUCACCUGUAGCAGCUUUGCGUCACACUCUUUCCUUCCUUCCUGUUGAGGUGCUAAAGAUCAGCUGCUUCAGCUGUGCCACUGGAGUACACAGACACAGCGCCCACUAGUGGUUUGAAUAAUAACCAGAAGCUACAAGUGGAAGAGAGCUGACUGGUGGACACGCGUUUUGCAGCACCAUAACUGAGAAGACACAAUUCUGAAGAAACAAAACAAAAUGCUACUGAAAUCUCACGACAGAAAAGGGAAACAAGCAAAGAGAGAAAUCAAUAUUUAGAUGGACGGCGAGAAAGAGAUACCAAAGAUAAAGAGAGGAAACGACAAACGGAAGAGUGAUAGAGUGUGUUGACUCUGACCCAGGAUGAAGUUAUACUGAGCCAACUGUGCAUUUCUGAUCUUUUUGUUCAGAGUGCAGCCAGGGUCGAGAUCCACGUCAGCCAUGAAUCCGCUGUUGUGGAAUUCCUUUCUGACCUGCCACAUUAAUCGGAGAAACAACCUGUUAAUACACAAUCCUGAAACCGCAUUACCAGCCUGUGUGGACUUCAUCAAUAAAACAGGCAGCUCAGUGUUGAGUGUCUGACAGCAUAUGCGAACUGUCUGUACUGUCUUUAAAGAGAGAGUGAGGACUUAAGUGGCCGUGGUCAGUGGUUACCUUCUGAGCGUACUCGUCACAGGUCGGCCCCACAGGUACAACCAUCACUUGACGAGGAGAGAGCCAGAGUGGCCUGAAACAAAACAGGGCACAUUUGCAUUUAACUGAUGAGCAGGAGAAGCAGGACAGGUACUUUCUGCAAGAUUCUUGUGGCAACAUUUACACUCCCACAGACAUGAGUUGGUUUCUUUCUAUACCCAAUCGGAGCUCAGGAAGAAAUGCCACAAAACAAAAACUUCUUAAAACUGACUGUUUACCAACCAUUUGCCACCGUAGUUUUCAGUCAGAAUAGCGAUCAUCCUCUCUACGGAUCCCAGGAUAGCUCUGUGGAUAAUCACUGGUCUCUUCUUGUCGUCACCAUCAUGGCUACAAAAUCAUAUGUAAAGAGAGAAAGAGAUGAAAAAGGUUCUCACACAGAGAAAACAGUGAUCAACAGGAGAAUCCAGCCUCCGGGGCAGCUACAAAAAUCUUAGUACUUCGCCAUAAAUGGACAUCAUAUAGUUCCGCUCAAGCCAAUCCUAUUUUCUGCUUUUGCAUCAGCACUUUAUCCCACUUCUCCACUGUUUUAUAUAUGAAACUUCUACCCUUGAUUAUGUUAACUGUGCUACGGUUUGUUUAAUACCCAUAAGUUUUUACAGCAGCUCUUCUUUUGCCGCUUUAAUGUGAAUGGAAAAGCAGCAAUAAAGUUACCUGACAAAUGUGAGAUUAAAGCGGAUCGGGAGCUGGAAAUCGAGCUGAAUUGUGGCACACUGAUGGUACCGGCCGAUGGCAUCCUUGAUCUGAAUGUCGAUCUGCAAAGAAGGGACACAAAUGAUGAGCAGUGACCCUCCUGCUUUUUCACUUGACAUAGGUCAUUACUGCACCAGACUUACCUUUGGUCCAUAAAAAGCUCCAUCACCGGGGUUGAGAACCCAUUUCUCCCCAAAGUCAUUCAAGCUGUUCUCCAGUUGCUGUAAAAAACAAACACUGCUUUGUUACAAUUUCAGUGGGUGACCAACAUGCACAUAAACAGGUGACAAGCAAGCCGUACAUUCAGACCUGACAUUUUCUUCAUAUGGAACCAAUCACUGAACUGAGAAACGUUAACAUCGCAAUCAUAUUUGAUGGCUACUUGAGGGAGUUAAUGAGGUGAGGGGAAACAUGCAGCAAGUUCCAGCCAAGUACACCAAGUUUAUGAGUCACUGUUUUGUUUACAUAAUUUUCCAACUUUGUGCAUGUAAACACAUUGAAUUUUCCCCAGAGAAAAGUGUCCUGAUAGCUCAAACCAAACUCCCCAUAUUAUAUUGGCCAUACUAAUAUUAUCCUGAGAAGAGAGAAUCAGAAAACCACCAUUUUUAACAUGUGCAGUAAGAAGAAGCACAAUUUUCUCUGGUCUAUUCUGUCCAUCAGCAGACUACAAAGUGUUGAAUAUUUAAAUAGUUGCUGAGACCUCUGGAUUGAUUGUUAAUAAAAAUAACAUGCUAAAAAUAACUUCCACCAUCAUUAGUAAUGCUCGUCUUCCAGCGGGCAAAAGAUAUGCUUGAAAAUGAAGUUAAAAUAAAGUACUGAGGACAGAACAAUGACACCACUAACUGUAAAUCAGGGACAGAAAUUAAAAGGAGCUCUUUAAAAUUUCUAAAAUACCAGCAAGUUCACAAAGGGGGAACAAAUUGAGCCAGUUAUGAGGAUGAACUGCAUUAUAUCCGACUCACAUUUUUCCAUUCUUACUGUGCUGUCAUCUAUUAUAGUACAAAUGAAGAUCCACUGCAUCUGAUUUGUCUGAGCCUAAUGACCAAGUAAAAUCUUCCCUGGUGGGUUGUCAAAAGCACUGGAAGCAUUAGCGCUUUUUCAGUAAAAACAAUACAAUAUUCACAUUUGACAGUGUCAGAAGA